GGACGAACGCUGGCGGCGUGCCUAAUACAUGCAAGUCGAACGAACGGAGGAAGAGCUUGCUCUUCCAAAGUUAGUGGCGGACGGGUGAGUAACACGUGGGCAACCUGCCUGUAAGUUGGGGAUAACUCCGGGAAACCGGGGCUAAUACCGAAUGAUAGAGUGUGGCGCAUGCCACGCYYUUGAAAGAUGGUUUCGGCUAUCGCUUACAGAUGGGCCCGCGGUGCAUUAGCUAGUUGGUARGGUAAUGGCCUACCAAGGCAACGAUGCAUAGCCGACCUGAGAGGGUGAUCGGCCACACUGGGACUGAGACACGGCCCAGACUCCUACGGGAGGCAGCAGUAGGGAAUCUUCCGCAAUGGACGAAAGUCUGACGGAGCAACGCCGCGUGUAUGAAGAAGGUUUUCGGAUCGUAAAGUACUGUUGUUAGAGAAGAACAAGGAUAAGAGUAACUGCUUGUCCCUUGACGGUAUCUAACCAGAAAGCCACGGCUAACUACGU
rnacentral:rRNA from 1 species